rnacentral:tRNA from 1 species
GCUCCCGUGGCCUAAUUGGCUAGGGCAUAUGACUUCUAAUCAUGGGAUUGUGGGUUCGAGUCCCGCCGGGAGCU